AAUAAAGGCAAACCUUCCGAAAGGAUGGGACGCAAAGCUAAGGGUCUAAGGUCGCAAGACUAUGACAGCCGGUUGCCGC
rnacentral:ncRNA from 1 species